GAUGAAGAACGCAGCGAAAUGCGAUAAGUAAUGCGAAUUGCAGAAUUCCAGUGAGUCAUCGAAUCUUUGAACGCACAUUGCGCCCGCCAGUAUUCUGGCGGGCAUGCCUGUUCGAGCGUCAUUUCAACCAUCAAGCCCCAGGCUUGUGUUGGGGACCUGCGGCUGCCGCAGGCCCUGAAAACCAGUGGCGGGCUCGCUGUCACACCGGGCGUAGUAGAUUUUAUCUCGCUCAGGGCGUGCUGCGGGUUCCGGCCGUUAAAAAGCCUUUUUUACCCAAGGUUGACCUCGGAUCAGGUAGGAAGACCCGCUGAACUUAAGCAUAUCAAUAAGCGGAGGA
rnacentral:misc_RNA from 1 species